GCCGGGCAUGGUGGCACAUGCCUGUAAUCCCAGCUACUCAGGAGGCUGAGGCAGGAGAAUUGCUUGAACCCAGGAGGCAGAGGUUGCAGUGAGCCGAGAUUGCGCCACUGCACUCCAGCCUGGGUGACAGAGCAAGACUCUGUCUCGG
rnacentral:SRP_RNA from 1 species